AAAAAUGUCUGUUUUUUGUUUUUGUAGAUGUUAAAAGCCAGAGACAUGGGAGAGCAUCAUUCUUUUGAGAUUUUAUAACUCAAACCAACUUUGGAGUUGUCUGAUUUGGAGAGUCAUCAUUCUUGGUCUUCCUUCUUAAAGGCCACUGAUGAAGAGCAGGCGGUGACUGGGAUGAAUGCUGGUGAAAGAAGAGAACAUCCUUUCCUCUAAACUCAUGCAGCAGUGGUUUUAAAGGAGGACGCUGCCCCGGAUGAUGUAGAUGUCACAUGUGCUGAUGGAGCUUCUUCAUGACUAAAUCAGUUAUGCUAAAGAGAUCAUGAAAAUUGACCGUGAUGCUUGAUCUGUAUUCAUGGACUAUGAAACAAACUGUAAGUGUAUAAUUUGUAAAAACAA